rnacentral:rRNA from 1 species
CCAAUGACGGUUCGCUAAUAAGUCGAGCGGAUGACGGGAGCUUGCUCCUUGAUUAGCGGCGGACGGGUGAGUAAUGCCUAGGAAUCUGCCUGGUAGUGGGGGACAACGUUCCGAAAGGGGCGCUAAUACCGCAUACGUCCUACGGGAGAAAGUGGGGGAUCUUCGGACCUCACGCUAUCAGAUGAGCCUAGGUCGGAUUAGCUAGUUGGUGAGGUAAAGGCUCACCAAGGCGACGAUCCGUAACUGGUCUGAGAGGAUGAUCAGUCACACUGGAACUGAGACACGGUCCAGACUCCUACGGGAGGCAGCAGUGGGGAAUAUUGGACAAUGGGCGAAAGCCUGAUCCAGCCAUGCCGCGUGUGUGAAGAAGGUCUUCGGAUUGUAAAGCACUUUAAGUUGGGAGGAAGGGCAGUAAGUUAAUACCUUGCUGUUUUGACGUUACCGACAGAAUAAGCACCGGCUAACUCUGUGCCAGCAGCCGCGGUAAUACAGAGGGUGCAAGCGUUAAUCGGAAUUACUGGGCGUAAAGCGCGCGUAGGUGGUUCGUUAAGUUGGAUGUGAAAGCCCCGGGCUCAACCUGGGAACUGCAUCCAAAACUGGCGAGCUAGAGUAUGGUAGAGGGUGGUGGAAUUUCCUGUGUAGCGGUGAAAUGCGUAGAUAUAGGAAGGAACACCAGUGGCGAAGGCGACCACCUGGACUGAUACUGACACUGAGGUGCGAAAGCGUGGGGAGCAAACAGGAUUAGAUA